rnacentral:rRNA from 1 species
GACGAACGCUGGCGGCGUGCCUAAUACAUGCAAGUUGAGCGCUGAAGGUUGGUACUUGUACCAACUGGGUGAGCAGCGAACGGGUGAGUAACGCGUGGCGAAUCUGCCUUUGAGCGGGGGACAACAUUUGGAAACGAAUGCUAAUACCGCAUAAAAACUUUAAACACAAGUUUUAAGUUUGAAAGAUGCAAUUGCAUCACUCAAAGAUGAUCCCUCGUUGUAUUAGCUAGUUGGUGAGGUAAAGGCGCACCAAGGCGAUGGUACAUAGCCGACCUGAGAGGGAUAACGGCCAAAUUGGGAAUGGGACACGGCCCAAAACCCUACGGGAAGCCGCAGUAGGGAAUCUUUGGAAAUGGACGAAAGUCUGACCGAGGAACGCCGCGUGAGUGAAGAAGGUUUUCGGAUCGUAAAACUCUGUUGGUAGAGGAGAACGGUGGUGAGAGUGGAAAGCUCAUCAAGUGACGGUAACUACACAGAAAGGGACGGCUAACUACGUG